AUUCAGUAGUGCCCCAGACGUGGUGCAGGAGGUGUGUGUAGCUCGCUCAACAAUAUGACUUUUCUCACACUAAAUCACUCGUAACACUUGGACUUGAGUCAGGAAGUGAACCUUGGACGGUGCCCCAGCUGACAUGACCUUCAGCAGCACUAAGUGGGAGCAGGCGGAGAGGGAGAGCCCCAGUGAUGGCUGUGGGCGUCCUCUGGUCUCUCUCCCAUGGUAACUCCACCCGCGCGCACACGCCUCCCAUGAUGCCACUGCGGGAACGAACAUCACCGCUGCCGCUGCUGACGUCCCUGGCUGGUGUCAGGCAGCUUGUCUGGCACACAGGGCCACCACCGUCAGGGCCCCAUUCGCUCUUCAUAACUGUCGCGCUUCUCUGUUGAGCAACAGCAGCAAACUCGUCGCUUCCUUGUCAGACCUGCUCUGACCUUCAACUCUGCAACUCUCUCUGCACUAGAGGACAUUAAAACACUUGCAUGGUCUUCAGUUCCGCUGAAACCCAUGAACAGAGACAUCUUGGUAACUUACGGCUGGGAUACUGGUUUGCGACGUUAGCGCUCUGGGAAUAACGCUGAAGAAAGUUGGUAUUCAAGGGGCAAGUUAAACAAGACUCGCUUCGAUAGGGGAAAGAGAUAGGUAUCUGUAAGCAGCUGCUUUGAGUGCUGAUUCUACACAAGUCCGUUUGUGUUUUGGUGUUGUGGAUCUUUGUCCGCUCAACUUGCAACAUUUAUGAACGUUUCUGAAGCGCUUGAGGUUGGCUUUCGAGCGGUAACUUGUGGCUGCCACGUGGCCCGAGCCUGUACCAGCGUGCGCGCGCGCGUUGCGACUCUCGCAGGAGAGGAUCGAAGUCUGUUGGCCUAGAUAUCUUGGGUACGUGUGAAGCUGACGGAACACGUACAUUAUCGCCCCAGAAGGCCAAUUAUUUUGUCGCGGCAGUAACUUUUCUCGCUCUAGGUCUGGAGAACUGUGGAAAAUAUUAAUUUGUAAAUUGAAGUUUAUUACAUUGAAUCUGAAAAAAUAUUUUACUGGAGUCUAAUUUGAAAGAAGUUUUGUGAUAUCUUUGUUUUAACUAAUAAUGAUUCUCCAUUAUAAGUGUGUGUGUAAAGGUAGUGACAGACUUCCCCUUUUCCUUCAAGACCGAAGUUGGUGAUGAAGUAUGUUGUCAUGCUGAAGGAAGUAGGAAGCUGGAAAUUCAUGCUAGAGGAUCACCAAUUCUUGGAUUAUAACGUGGCCAGGCAUCCAGUCUUCCCAGUGGACCAUAGUCCGUCCCAGUAGUGUUGAUAGUUCCCGACCACCCGCCAUAGUGUUCGUGUGUGUGUCUACCUUGCUCCCCCUCCACCGUUACGUACCUGUGUGUGUGUGUUGUGGUGUGAUGCCACGCUGUGAUUGGUGGCCAUGCUGUGUGUAUACUUCCAGUUGUAACUCUGCGACAUCCGUCCCGUACCGUCCCUCUCCACCCCACCACCCAAAGUUAUUCACCAGCCUUGAUUCUGUUCAGAUGUAAGUGACGAUUGUAUAGAUGUUUAAAGUGUAGAAAUGCAUUAAUAACUGUAUAGAGGUGAGGGGGAAGAACAGUUUGAUACUUUGAGCAGCAAGACCUUGGUACCAUCGUGACACCUGCACUCUGGAACUACCGUUGUGGAAGACUUGUCCCAAGAUGUCUUCGGAGAGCGCCCUGGCCGUGACGCUAGAGCGACUGGCCCAAGGGGCGGCCAGGCCAGCAGAGGAGGUGGAGGUGCUGAGGACGGCGGUGGCCAGGCUACACUCCAGGCUCAAGGUGCAAGAUGUGGAUGUCCGCCUGGAGACUCUGGAGAGACUGGCCGCCCCAGACCACCAGAUCUUGCAGCAACUAAUCUACAUCAUAGAGCACUGUGAGGAUCCUGCGCUGAUGGGAGCGGUGUGCGCCUUGUUACAUGACGUCCUCUCUCCUAGUUAUAAAGGAGAUGUUCGCCAUAAUAUACUUCAGACAUGUCUGUCACUAAAUACAGCUGAAGUAAUUCUACGUGCACUUAAAGCUCUAUCUGCUGAGGGAUUGUCUGCCAUUGAACCUUGCACCCAUUCAGCAUAUCAGGUCCUUGCAAAGCUGGCAUCUAAAGACCCCAAGAUGGCAGUCAGAGCCAGACUUGUUGGAGGUGUGAAAUUGACACACCAGCUCCUUCAGGCCCACAUGAAAAGCAGCGUUCCUCUUCUUCCUUUGCUGAUGGUCACUAAAUACUUGGCUAAAAAUUCCACUAACCAGGUGAUGCUGGGCAAAGACGGAUGUGUGGCCACGAUGGCAUCACUCCUCUGUUCGGUCCCCAAGACCCACUGUGCCAAGAUUAAGUUCAUCAUAGAGAUCCUAGCUCUUCUCACAAAAGCCAAAAGCAAUGUUAUCCGCCUCCUUCGAGAGUCUGGGCUUCAGCGGGUGUUAGCUAUUCUAGAUGCCUGGGAAAAGAUAGAACGUCGGCAUCAGGUGAAGGUUAUCAAGGCAAUCUUAGGAACGCUGUCUCAUGUGUGUGACUCAAAGCACGGGCGCAAGGCCAUAGUAUCGCUGAAUGGUGUAGAAAUUGCACAGCGCUUUAUACAAACAUGUCCUGCUGACAAGAAAUUUGAUAACAACCUUGCAAGUGCCACAAAUGUUUUCCUCAAGUGUGUUAGUAAGGGAGAGUUACCCGUGUCUUCCAUAUGUGGAGCAUUUACCUUCCAGGUGCCAAAAAAAGCUGAUUCAGAACCAAGCUCAGAUGUAUCUCAUGGAGGAACCUCAGGAUUGGAUGGUGAUUCAUCAGAUGAUGAAGCAGAUGAUGAGGUGGAGGAAGAUGAAGAAGAUUUUGAGCUGUCCAAAGAUUUUAAAGCAAUUGACUUAAUCUCAGAGUAUUUUCCUCAAAGAACUAGAAUGGAAGAAUUGGUGAAAUUAGCACCUCUUUUUCCUGAGCUAAAUAAUUUUCGUGUUCCUGGUGUAACAAGACUUACAGAUGUGGUAAUGGAUAGAAGAGAAAGUGUUGGAGAACCAGCCUGUGAAGCAAAUGCUGAACAUUAUCUUCGAGCGUCUGACUCCACCAAGAGUCUCAUAAACUUUGUUAAAGUUACUUAUCCAGACAUGGUGGGUGCCCUUGGCCCUGUUUAUCUUGAAGAGUUGUAUGAAAAGGACCGUAAAGUUUGCAGGAGCAAAGCCAUCGCAACUGUUGAGCGCGUGCUUCACCCAGAAAUCUAUACGGAACGUGUUGUUUAUGACUUAGACUACCUGCUGGAAACAGAACAGUCAGCACAGCUGAUCACUCCCAUCAAUAGUCAUUCCAGACCCUUGAGCAACUGGGAUGAAAAACGUGUUGGUAAAAAAGAUGUAGCCGUCAGCCACCUUAACUUUGAGUCUAGAUUUGAAAGUGGCAAUCUGCGAAGGGUGAUUCAGAUUUCUAACUCUGAGUAUGACUUGAUACUGAAUGCUGAUGUCAAUUCAUCUCAUCAUCAUCAGUGGUUUUAUUUUGAAGUGAGCAACAUGGAGCAAAAUAUACCAUACAUCUUCAAUAUCGUUAAUAAUGAAAAACCAAACAGUGAAUUUAAUUUUGGAAUGAAGCCAGUAAUGUUUAGUGUACAAGAAGCUAUGCAGGGACAAGCUGCCUGGGUUCGUGCAGGUUAUGACAUUUGCUACCAUAAGAAUCACUACUCACGUGUACCAAAGAGCCAUGAUAACAUCCGCUUUAAGAAGUCUGCCAACAAGUGCUAUUAUACAGCAACAUUUACAGUAACAUUCCCUCAUGCAUAUGAUGUAUGCUAUAUAGCUUACCAUUAUCCGUAUACUUACACGUGUCUACAGGCUUACCUCAGCAGACAAGAAUCAUGUGUGCUCCCAAGUAAAGUUUUCUACAGUAAUCAAGUUCUGUGUUACACACUCAAUGGCAAUGCAGUACCUCUUCUCACCAUCACUACCAAGGAUACUAUAAAGGACAAAGAGAUUAUCUUCCUUACAGCCAGAGUACAUCCUGGAGAAAGUAACUCCUCCUGGGUGAUGGAGGGAGUGCUAAAUUUUCUCUUAGGAAAUUCACCUGAGGCACAUUUGUUGCUUGAGAAAUUCAUCUUCAAGAUUAUUCCAAUGUUAAAUCCUGAAGGAGUCAUUCAUGGAAAUCAACGUUGUGGCCUGACAGAUGAAGAUUUAAAUCGUAGAUGGAGAGCACCUGAUCCUAUCUUACAUCCUACCAUCUACCAUGCCAAGGCUCUUCUAGAAUACCAAACAACAAUAGCAAAGCUUAAAGUCCGUGUAUUUUGUGACUUUCAUGGUCAUUCACGUCAAAAGAAUGUGUUUAUGUACGGAUGUUCUCGUAUGCAGUCAUGGUGGGCAGGGGACAGGGAUCUACCUGAUAGUCCUGAUUUUAUGCUUCUGCCACAACUUGCUGAAAAGUGCAUGAAAACAUUUUCGCUGCGUGAUUGCCACUUCUUAAUAGAGCGAGCAAGGGAAUCCACGGCUCGUGUGGCGGUCUGGAGACAGUUUGGCAUUCCAAUGUCUUAUACAAUGGAGGCAUCUACGUGUGGGUGUGAUCAAGGGCUAUACAAAAAUAAUCACUUGAGCACCAAACAACUAAUAGAAUCUGGCAAAGGAUUCUGUCUUGCUCUCUCAUACCUCAUUUCUGCACCGGAGGCAAUUAAUUCACAGCUGAAAUUGGACUUGAAUAGUGGUGGUGGUGAUGAAGCUGACAGUGAUAGUGAUAAUGAUGAAUAGGUGGUGAGGGCAAGCCUUGUGCAGAGGCCUGGUGGGAGAAGUGGUCUCUUCUCUGCUUUCUCCAGGAUUGACACUCAUCUCGGGAUGACAUCA
rnacentral:misc_RNA from 1 species